UGAUCAGCCAUGCCGCGUGAGUGAAGAAGGCCUUCGGGUUGUAAAGCUCUUUCGGCCUGGGAAGAAAUCGCAUCUCCUAAUACGGGGUGUGGAUGACGGUACCAGAAUAAGAAGCACCGGCUAACUACGUGCCAGCAGCCGCGGUAAUACGUACGGUGCGAGCGUUAAUCGGAAUUACUGGGCGUAAAGCGUGCGCAGGCGGUUUCGUAAGACAGAGGUGAAAUCCCCGGGCUCAACCUGGGAACUGCCUUUGUGACUGCUAGGCUAGAGUAUGGCAGAGGGGGGUGGAAUUCCACGUGUAGCAAUGAAAUGCGUAGAGAUGUGGAGGAACACCGAUGGCGAAGGCGACCCCCUGGGCCAAUACUGACGCUCAUGCACGAAAGCGUGGGGAGCAAACAGGAUUAGAUACCCUGGUAGUCCACGCCCUAAACGAUGUCAACUAGGUGUUGGGAGGGUUAAACCUUUUAGUACCGUAGCUAACGCGUGAAGUUGACCGCCUGGGGA
rnacentral:rRNA from 1 species